rnacentral:lncRNA from 1 species
CCCGUCUCAGGCGCUCCCGCAGACCGCCAGGUGGACUUGCGCUCAUUUCCUGAGGUGAAGGAGCUCGUAGCUUGUUUCCAAGUCAUUUUCAGAGGGAAUUGUACCAUUUGUAGGUGCACAUUCGGGGAGUCCGGAGGAGGACGGGGGGAGUCCGGAGGAGGACGGGUGCAGUCGUAGACCGUCUCCGUCCUGUGGGUGUUGGCCUGGGCCUGAGGCUUCGUGCUGCUGCUCAUCCCUUUAGGGUCCUGGACAGGUUCAGCCAGGCCCAGCUGAGGUGUAUUUUUGUAACACCAGAAGGUCCCGCCCAGACCCAUCCACCCUGGAAACAGCUGGAAUUGGAAUCAAUAGCGGAUACUGAAUAUCCAGUUGAAUGAAUGACUGGCCUGAAUAUCUUUCUGGAAGAAGUAUUAUUAGCUGUAUGAGGUAAUGCUUAAUUUGUUUUAAAUUUAUGCUCUCACGUUUUAAAGCAUGAUUCCUUAACCCAGUAUUCUAGCAUUGGUAAAUAAACCUUAUAGAUACCAC